UACGGAGGAUGCGAGCGUUAUCCGGAUUUAUUGGGUUUAAAGGGUGCGUAGGCGGGCUUUUAAGUCAGCGGUAAAAAUUCGGGGCUCAACCCCGUCCGGCCGUUGAAACUGGGGGUCUUGAGUGGGCGAGAAGAAGGCAGAAUGCGUGGUGUAGCGGUGAAAUGCAUAGAUAUCACGCAGAACCCCGAUUGCGAAGGCAGCCUUCCGGCGCCCUACUGACGCUGAGGCACGAAAGUGCGGGGAUCGAACAGG
rnacentral:rRNA from 1 species